UUCGGUAAGUGGAGACCGGCAGACGGGUGAGUAACACGUGGGAACAUACCAAGUAGUGGGGGAUAACAGUUGGAAACGACUGCUAAUACCGCAUACGCCCUUCGGGGGAAAGAUUUAUCGCUAUUUGAUUGGCCCGCGUUAGAUUAGCUAGUUGGUAAGGUAACGGCUUACCAAGGCGACGAUCUAUAGCUGGUUUGAGAGGAUGAUCAGCCACACUGGGACUGAGACACGGCCCAGACUCCUACGGGAGGCAGCAGUGGGGAAUAUUGCGCAAUGGAGGAAACUCUGACGCAGCCAUGCCGCGUGAGUGAAGAAGGCCCUAGGGUUGUAAAGCUCUUUCAGAUGUGAUGAUGAUGACAGUAGCAUCAAAAGAAGUUCCGGCUAACUUCGUGCCAGCAGCCGCGGUAAUACGAAGGGAACUAGCGUUGUUCGGAUUUACUGGGCGUAAAGAGCAUGUAGGCGGAUUGGUCAGUUGGAGGUGAAAUCCCGGAGCUCAACUCCGGAACUGCCUUCAAUACUGCCAGUCUAGAGUCCGUAAGGGGGUGGUGGAAUUCCGAGUGUAGAGGUGAAAUUCGUAGAUAUUCGGAGGAACACCAGUGGCGAAGGCGACCACCUGGUACGGUACUGA
rnacentral:rRNA from 1 species